rnacentral:rRNA from 1 species
AUUGAACGCUGGCGGCAGGCCUAACACAUGCAAGUCGAACGAGUGGCGGACGGGUGAGUAAUGUCUGGGACACUGCCCGAUGGAGGGGGAUAACUACUGUAAACGGUAGCUAAUACCGCAUACCAUCGGAUGUUCCCAGAGGGGAUUCGCUAGUAGGGGGGGUAAUGGCUCACCUAGGCGACGAUCCCUAGCUGGUCUGAGAGGAUGACCAGCCACACUGGAACUGAGACACGGGCCAGAAUCCUACGGGAGGCAGCAGUGGGGAAUAUUGCACAAUGGGCGCAAGUCUGAUGCAGCCAUGCCGCGUGUAUGAAGAAGGCCUUCGGGUUGUAAAGUACUUUCAGCGGGGAGGCGUUACCCGCAGAAGAAGCACCGGCUAACUCCGUGCCAGCAGCCGCGGUAAUAC